UUAUGGCCAUAUCAGGUUGAAACACCGGUUCUCGUACGAUCACCGAAGUUAAGCAACGUCGAGCCUGCUCAGUACCUAGAUAGGUGACCGCUUCAGAAUACCAGGUGCUAUAA